AGAGUUUGAUCAUGGCUCAGGAUGAACGCUGGCGGCGUGCUUAACACAUGCAAGUCGAACGAGGUCCAUGGAGCUUGCUCCGGAAGAUCUAGUGGCGAACGGGUGCAUAACACGUGAGAAACCUGCCUCAGUCUCUGGGAUAACAGUUGGAAACGACUGCUAAUACCGGAUGCCGUCACACCAUCACAUGGUGGAGUGACGAAAGAUUUAUCGGAUUGAGAGGGUCUCGCGGCCUAUCAGCUAGUUGGAGAGGUAACGGCUCACCAAGGCAUCGACGGGUAGCUGGUCUGAGAGGAUGAUCAGCCACACUGGGACUGAGACACGGCCCAGACUCCUACGGGAGGCAGCAGUGGGGAAUCUUGCACAAUGGGCGAAAGCCUGAUGCAGCAACGCCGCGUGCGGGAAGAAGGCCCUAGGGUUGUAAACCGCUUUCAGUAGGGAAGAAAAUGACGGUACCUACAGAAGAAGGUGCGGCCAACUACGUGCCAGCAGCCGCGGUG
rnacentral:rRNA from 1 species